rnacentral:rRNA from 1 species
GGGGGGGGGGGGGGGGGGGGGGGGGGGGGGCGGGUCGGGGGGGGGGGCGCUGGUUUGGUGGGGUGCUCGGGUGGCGAACGGGUGGGUGACACGUGAGUAACCUGCCCUUGACUUUGGGAUAACUUCAGGAAACUGGGGCUAAUACCGGAUAGGAGCUCCUGCUGCAUGGUGGGGGUUGGACAGUUUCGGCGGUUGGGGAUGGACUCGCGGCUUAUCCGCUUGUUGGUGGGGUAGUGGCUUACCAAGGCUUUGACGGGUAGCCGGCCUGAGAGGGUGACCGGCCACAUUGGGACUGAGAUACGGCCCAGACUCCUACGGGAGGCAGCAGUGGGGAAUAUUGCACAAUGGGCGGAAGCCUGAUGCAGCAACGCCGCGUGCGGGAUGACGGCCUUCGGGUUGUAAACCGCUUUCGCCUGUGACGAAGCGUGAGUGACGGUAAUGGGUAAAGAAGCACCGGCUAACUACGUG